rnacentral:rRNA from 1 species
UACGGGGGGGGCAAGCGUUGUUCGGAAUUACUGGGCGUAAAGGGCGCGUAGGCGGUUGGAUAAGUCAGCUGUGAAAACCACGGGCUUAACUCGUGGCCUGCAGUUGAGACUGUCUGGCUUGAGUGUGGGAGAGGAGAGUGGAAUUCCUGGUGUAGCGGUGAAAUGCGUAGAUAUCAGGAGGAACACCGGUGGCGAAGGCGGCUCUCUGGACCACAACUGACGCUGAGGCGCGAAAGCGUGGGGAGCAAACGGG